AAAAAAUUUAAAGACAUGCUCCUUUUCAAUAUUUAGGAUAUAAAGCAUACCCAAGAUGCUUAUAGUACAAAAACUUUACUUAAAAACAGAGAAGCUAAACACCUUAAAUGAUUUUCAGAAAUUGAUAGGAGAUAUCCAAUGGAUGCUUCCAGUGUUAGGCUUGACUACCUAUCAAUUACAACCAUUAUAUAACCUUUUAAGGGGAGACAUUGCUUUAAACCAACCACACCAGCUUACAAAAGAAGCUCAAGAGGCUUUGAGAGAAGUUGAACUGGCUUUAUUCAAUGUGGGUGGUUGAAAGAGUCGCUCAAAAAUCUUUGGAAAUAUCAGUUUUUGCUACACAAGAGGCACAGUCCUUCAUCAAGGAGACAGUGUGGUAGAGAGGGUGAACCUCCCAGCAAACCAGAACAAAGCCUUAUUCCUUACCCAGUGCUUGUGACUAGAAUUUUAUUAAAGGCCUUUAAGCGAGUAAUACAAUUAUCUGGGAUAAGACCUGACAAGAUAUACACCUUUUAUACUAAUACACAAAUUAAUGUGUUCUGUGAAACCAUCUCAGAGUGGCAAAUUUUAUUAGCUAUGGCUCCAAAUUUUACACAUGGGUCUCCAUUAAAGAUAACCAACUAUUAUAUAAUUGGUGAUGGAUUCUUGAAGAAAAGGUUUCUAAAAUUUCUCUUAAAGAACUAACUAUCUUUACAGAUGCAUCCAAACAUAAUAUUUGCACUUGUGACUUAACUAUAGAAUAGUCAGAACUCCUUUUCAAUCCACUCAUCAGAAUGAAUUGCAUGCAAUUCUAGCUCUUACUUAUUAUUCAGGAGAUAUAAAUAUAAUAUCUGAUUCGGCCUAUUCAGUAGGUAUGGGACAAAGAAUUGCCACAGCCCAAAUAAAAUUUGUAGCCUUUAAUAUAUAUCAGCUCUUUAAGGAACUUCGAGAGCAAGUGAGAAAGCAUCCAGGUAAGAUUUAUAUCUUGCAUAUCCACUCUCAUAGUGGACUUCCGGGUUUUAUUUUUGAUGGUAAUUCAAAGGCAUAUACCUUUUAACUAUGUUGGCCAAUACUCCUUUAUUUCAAGAAGCCCAAGACUCUCAUUCUAAAUAUCAUCAGGCUGCUUGAGCUUUAUGUUUACAAUUUGGAAUAACAAGAGAGGAAACUAGGAGCAUAGUAAAAACCUAUACAGCUUGCCUUCCUUUCCACGCUCCUAUACUCCCUCCAGGGAAGAACUCUUGUGGUUUGAGACCUAAUGGGCAAAUGGAUUUGACCCAUUAUCAAUCUUUUGGUUGUCUAUCUUUUAUCCAUGUUGUAAUAGACACUUUUUCAGGAUUCACUUUUGCAAUACCAGCAGCAAAAGAGACAGCUGAAUGGUCACUGAAUUCCUUAUCCAAGCAUUUGCAAUUAUAGGUGUGCUACAAGCCAUAAAAACAGAUAAUGGACCUGCAUAUACUUUUUUGCACACUUUUGUGCACUUUAUAAGAUUUUAUACACCACUGGCAUACCCUUUAAUCCUCAAGGACUGGCAAUAGUAAAGAGGAAAAAAGACAUUAAGACACUUCUCCAAAAACAAAAGAAAGGGGGAGCCAUAGGUAACCCUAGAGAAAUUCUAAAACUAGCCCUUUAUACUAUUAAUUUCUUGAUUUUUGACAAAGAUGCACUGGCUUCGUCAGACAAGUUUUAUAACCCACAGGAAGGGCAGUGUCCAGUGUGAGCUGCUCCACUAUCUUUAGAUAAUCUCCAGGUGAUGUGGAGAGAUCCAGAAAGUGGUGAAUGGAAGGGACCAGAUAGGUUAACUGUUUGGGGAAGAGGGUUUGCUUGUAUUUCUACAGAUGGAGAAGGAAUCAGAUGGGUGCCAACGAGCCAUAUUCGCCUUGUCCAUUGGAGAGAGAUGGAGCAGACCCUUGAAAUGAAGGAGAAGAUCCAAGAAAUAUCAGGUGAUUCCCUCGCUGAUUGUGCCCACCACUGAAAGAGCAUGGCAGUUAUGGCAUUUGACUCAUGAACAUCAAAAAUUGUUGGACUUCAAAACCCUUAGACAUCAUUGGAUUCUCUGAGACAUGAUAAAAUUGUUGUAGGACUUGAAAACCUUCAGAAAUCAUUGGAUUCUCUGAGACAUGAUAAGACUGUUAUAGAACUUGAAAACCCUCAGGAAUCAUUGGAUUUUCUGAGAAAUGAUAAGACUGUUGCAGGACUUCAAAAUCUGCAGGAAUCAAAAAUUUGUGGGGAUCAUUGUAUUCCCUGACACGUGAAGCAAUGGACAAUAGAUUGGUUUUGGACUAUCUCUUGGCUGCUAAAGGAGACUAAGGACUUUUGCUGAUCCUGACUCUGGCUGAUCCUGAGAUCAACAGGAUGCUAACUCGGACUUCACAGUGGAGUUGUGAGUGGAUCCAACCAUUCUGGAGAGCAAUUUGGAACUAUACUCAAAAAGUUAUCAAACCGUGCAUAACCUUUGAUCCAGCAGUGUUACUACUGAGCUUAUAUCCCAAAGAGAUCUUGAAGGAGGGAAAGGUACCCAUAUGUGUAAAAAUCUUUGUGGCAGCCUUUUUCAUAGUGGCUAGAAACUGGAAAUUGAAGGGAUGCCCAUCAAUUGGGGAAUGGCUGAAUAAAUUUUGGUAUAUGAAUUUUAUGGAAUAUUAUUGUUCUAUAAGUAUGAACCACAACAUAUCAUUUCCACUCUUUCUAUUACUGUUUGCUUGCAUUUUUGUUUUUUUCUUCUCAGGUUAUUUUUAUCUUCUUUCUAAAUCCAAUCUUUCCUUUGCAACAAGAUAAGUGUUUAAAUAUGUAUACAUAUAUUGUAUUUAACAUAUACUUUAACAUAUUUAACAUGUAUGAGACUACCUGCCAUCUAGGGGAAGGGGGUGGGGAGAAGGAGGGGAAAAGUUGGAACAGAAGUUUUUGCAAGGGUCAAUGUUAAAAAAUUACCCAUGCAUAUGUUUUGUAUAUAAAAAGCUAAAAAAAAAAAAAAAUUGCUACCCUUGCUUUUUUUUUUUUUUACUUUAGCUGAAGCAUAAUAAAUUCUGUUCUAGUCAUUUACCUUUAUUCCA